rnacentral:rRNA from 1 species
UGGGGAAUAUUGCACAAUGGGCGCAAGCCUGAUGCAGCCAUGCCGCGUGUAUGAAGAAGUCCUUCGGGUUGUAAAGUACUUUCAGCGGGGAGGAAGGGAGUAAAGUUAAUACCUUUGCUCAUUGACGUUACCCGCAGAAGAAGCACCGGCUAACUCCGUGCCAGCAGCCGCGGUAAUACGGAGGGUGCAAGCGUUAAUCGGAAUUACUGGGCGUAAAGCGCACGCAGGCUGGUUGUUAAGUCAGAUGUGAAAUCCCCGGGCUCAACCUGGGAACUGCAUCUGAUACUGGCAAGCUGGAGUCUCGUAGAGGGGGGUAGAAUUCCAGGUGUAGCGGUGAAAUGCGUAGAGAGCUGGAGGAAUACCGGUGGCGAGGGCGGCCCCCUGGACGAAGACUGACGCUCAGGUGCGAAAGCGUGGGGAGCAAACAGG